rnacentral:rRNA from 1 species
AGAGUUGUAUCCUGGCUCAGAUUGAACGCUGGCGGCAUGCCUUACACAUGCAAGUCGAACGGCAGCACGGGAGCAAUCCUGGUGGCGAGUGGCGAACGGGUGAGUAAAGUAUCGGAACGUGCCCAGUCGUGGGGGAUAACGUAGCGAAAGUUACGCUAAUACCGCAUACGAUCUAUGGAUGAAAGCGGGGGAUCGCAAGACCUCGCGCGAUUGGAGCGGCCGAUAUCAGAUUAGGUAGUUGGUGGGGUAAAGGCUCACCAAGCCGACGAUCUGUAGCUGGUCUGAGAGGACGACCAGCCACACUGGGACUGAGACACGGCCCAGACUCCUACGGGAGGCAGCAGUGGGGAAUUUUGGACAAUGGGCGAAAGCCUGAUCCAGCCAUGCCGCGUGUCUGAAGAAGGCCUUCGGGUUGUAAAGGACUUUUGUCGGGGAGGAAAUCCCCAGCGCUAAUACCGCUGGGGGAUGACAGUACCUGAAGAAUAAGCACCGGCUAACUACGUGCCAGCAGCCGCGGUAAUACGUAGGGUGCAAGCGUUAAUCGGAAUUACUGGGCGUAAAGCGUGCGCAGGCGGUUUGAUAAGCCAGAUGUGAAAUCCCCGAGCUCAACUUGGGAACUGCGUUUGGAACUGUCAGACUAGAGUGCGUCAGAGGGGGGUGGAAUUCCGCGUGUAGCAGUGAAAAUGCGUAGAGAUGCGGAGGAACACCGAUGGCGAAGGCAGCCC